rnacentral:lncRNA from 1 species
UGGUAAUCUAAGAUAGGAGAACACAGGUGGAACAGGUUUUGGUGAGAAGGAGGAGCACAGGUGGAACAGCUUUUGGGGAGACAAUCAGCAGUUUUAUUUGGGAUAUGUGAAGUUUUUGGUGUCUGGUAGACCUCCUGGUGGAGAAGCUGUGUAGCAGGGGCCCAUAUAAGCCUGGAGUUCAGGAGAAAGCCUGGGCUGGAGGUACACGUUGGGGAGUUGCUGACAGGCACAGCUAAAGAAAUGUGUUACUGACAAGCCUGCAGGCCACAUGGCGAGAUGGAAAGCAAGCAGUAAAGACCAAAGAAACUCGUUGAGGACAAUGGAAGAUGGGCUCAGAAGAAAAUGGAUACAGCUGAAGCUAGAUGGGUCAUGGGUGAAAGCAGGACAGGACCUCAUUCUCCAACAGAUACCAAGGAGAGCAGGUUUAGUGGAGAAAAGCAAUGGAUUUGGAGUGAGGACGUAUGUGUGAAGGUCCUGAUGAGCAAACUUUAGGUCCUUCAGCAACUCAGGUGACCUUUCUGGACCUCU